CGGGGUAUAGCGCAGUUUGGUAGCGCACUUGUCUGGGGGACAAGUGGUCGCAGGUUCAAAUCCUGCUACUCCGACCA
rnacentral:tRNA from 2 species